rnacentral:rRNA from 1 species
GAUCCUGGCUCAGGACGAACGCUGGCGGCGCGCCUAACACAUGCAAGUCGAACGAGCGAGAGAGAGCUUGCUUUCUCAAGCGAGUGGCGAACGGGUGAGUAACGCGUGAGGAACCUGCCUCAAAGAGGGGGACAACAGUUGGAAACGACUGCUAAUACCGCAUAAGCCCACGGCUCGGCAUCGAGCAGAGGGAAAAGGAGCAAUCCGCUUUGAGAUGGCCUCGCGUCCGGAUUAG